rnacentral:rRNA from 1 species
AGAGUUUGAUCCUGGCUCAGAUUGAACGCUGGCGGCAGGCUUAACAUAUGCAAGUCGAACGGUAGCAGGAGAAAGCUUGCUUUCUUGCUGACGAGUGGCGGACGGGUGAGUAAUGCUUGGGAAUCUGGCUUAUGGAGGGGGAUAACGACGGGAAACUGUCGCUAAUACCGCGUAGUGUCGAGAGACGAAAGUGCGGGACCGCAAGGCCGCAUGCCAUGAGAUGAGCCCAAGUGGGAUUAGGUAGUUGGUGGGGUAAAGGCCUACCAAGCCUGCGAUCUCUAGCUGGUCUGAGAGGAUGGCCAGCCACACUGGAACUGAGACACGGUCCAGACUCCUACGGGAGGCAGCAGUGGGGAAUAUUGCGCAAUGGGGGGAACCCUGACGCAGCCAUGCCGCGUGAAUGAAGAAGGCCUUCGGGUUGUAAAGUUCUUUCGGUAUUGAGGAAGGAGUGUAUGUUAAUAGCAUGCAUUAUUGACGUUAAAUACAGAAGAAGCACCGGCUAACUCCGUGCCAGCAGCCGCGGUAAUACGGAGGGUGCGAGCGUUAAUCGGAAUAACUGGGCGUAAAGGGCACGCAGGCGGUUAUUUAAGUGAGGUGUGAAAGCCCCGGGCUUAACCUGGGAAUUGCAUUUCAGACUGGGUAACUAGAGUACUUUAGGGAGGGGUAGAAUUCCACGUGUAGCGGUGAAAUGCGUAGAGAUGUGGAGGAAUACCGAAGGCGAAGGCAGCCCCUUGGGAAUGUACUGACGCUCAUGUGCGAAAGCGUGGGGAGCAAACAGGAUUAGAUACCCUGGUAGUCCACGCUGUAAACGCUGUCGAUUUGGGGAUUGGGCUUAAAGCUUGGUGCCCGUAGCUAACGUGAUAAAUCGACCGCCUGG